GCUGCAGGGGGGCGAGGCUGGCACCGGGCGGGUGGCAGAGGCGGGCCGGGGGCCGGGGCGGCAUCCGGGCCCGGCCGGGCUUCCGGAUGGCGUGACAGGGAGCCUGGGAGCUGUCCCUGAGAGCCGUGCAGUGAGCGAGGCUGGCAGCCGCCACAGCCCCGGGGAGGAGAGCCCGGAGCCCUGUCCCCAACUCUGCUGCGGCCCCCGGGGAGAAGGUCCCGGCGCCAGGGACGGCGAGUCUGCCCCCGGGGGCGUGGCCUGAGGCACAGCCCUCCCGGGGUGCAGAACCUGGUGGUCUGCUCGCUCGGUAGCGCCUCAUCGUCUCCGACCUCUAAUCUUAGGAGGGGGAGUGGGCGACCGCCAGUUGGCAGCGGAAGGGACCUAGGAGAGUUGAGGGGGCGCGUUGAACAAGAGCUUCCCCCUCUAGGGCUGCUCGGGCCCCAGGUUGUGUGAAGUAGCCCAGAGAGCGCACUGUGGCUUCCCUCCGAAUUUUAGUCGGUGCAGGAUCAAACCGCUGCCGGACGUGCCAAAGUAUUUUUUGCAUGCCCCGUGAGCCCAGUUGCUGAGCUGGGAAGGAUCAGAAGUACACAAAGGGCGCAGGAUUCUCCUUCUUGCUAAAUUCAUGAAUGAACACACGCCUGUCCUCGUCGCAGCAUUUCAGGGCUUCUUAAUCAGCACAUUCAUUCCCAGAGCGAUUACUACGCAGUCUCCUCCACCUGGGACAACUUCCAGUGUGAUGAACAGCCAGGCACUUACUGAGGGAAUUCCUCAAAUUCAAAUUUGAUGCUCCAUCUCGUACCAGAGACCAAGGAUGCUGUCUUUAAACCUAUGAAAUCGUUCCCUUCAAACAUUUUUGUUGUUGUUGCAGCAGCUCAAAUUCUGAUAACACCUUGUCACAAAUAAACAAGCCCAGAGUAGAGAG